rnacentral:rRNA from 1 species
UACGUAGGGUGCAAGCGUUAUCCGGAAUUAUUGGGCGUAAAGAGCUCGUAGGCGGUUUGUCGCGUCUGCUGUGAAAACUGGAGGCUCAACCUCCAGCCUGCAGUGGGUACGGGCAGACUAGAGUGCGGUAGGGGAGAUUGGAAUUCCUGGUGUAGCGGUGGAAUGCGCAGAUAUCAGGAGGAAUACCGAUGGCGAAGGCAGGUCUCUGGGCUGACACUGACGCUCAUGCACGAAAGCGUGGGGAGCAAACAGG